rnacentral:lncRNA from 1 species
UCAAAAUAUCUGACCACGCCCUCGAUAUUUCUGAAACUUUUGUACCUUGCAAACCGAGCAAAUCAUCUUCGUCCACAAAUUAUAUCUGAGUCCUGAAAAAACUCGCAAAUAAACUAAUCAUUAGGGAAAAAUCAACCUCCGACACUGCAAGACAUUGCAAAAACCGCCUAAGAAGUUGUUUCCCAUCCGACAAAACGAAACCCUCGUCACAAAAAAUAAUAUACGCACUAACAUCUCCGCAAACACAUAUUCUUCGCGAAGACCCAAACGGUAAUAUCUACCACCAAGUUCGUUGCUGAUCACAUCGAACUCUUAAACGUCCUAAACAGACACAGCCAUCUCACGAAGAUGACCCUCGUACAUCCGACACAAGGAUAAUAACGCUAUGAAAGAAAUCUGAAAUUCUGGUCAAGCACUUCUAGUUGGCUUAAAAAUUGUCUCUGGAGAGAUGCUCGAUUCGUACCAGACAAGUCGUAUAAGCCGAAAACCUAUCGCGGAAUUUAAAUCGGUACGAAUCAGGUUAAAAUCGCAACAGGAAAAUCAAUAGCCGGCUAGUCACCGCAUAAAUCUUAAAACCGAAAGUAAACCUAGGUCUUGCCCUUAACCCAGCGCACUGGCCUCUAACAUCUCAAGGCAUGAGAUCGAAAAGAAGAUACGAGAUCCUAAAACAUGCCUCUAUGCUUACAUUCAGCGUCUUCAGAUAUCCCGCGAAAUUAGGAUUUCGCAGAAAGCUCUCGAAACAGAUCGCGAAUAAAGCAUUUCACAUCGAAGAGAGAUAUGAGCAACAACUCAUAACAUUCCUUCCAUACUCCUACUCACGUAAACGCAAACUGAUUAUCCAUUCAUUGAAAAACAAAAGCCGCAAAGCGGCAGGGAUUCAAAGCCUCAAACGGCCAGUCCCGAAACAUAAAAUAUGGCCAUACAAGGCCAGAACAAGCCCAUAAACACAAAAAAAAAAAUCUCUCAAGCGAGGUCGUAACCGUGACCAUCUUCUGGAAUCUAAACCUCCUCCACACCCAUUGCCUCGUCCAAACUUGGGGCCGCGUCACCUCCGUUCUCCCUGACCAUGAGAUCUUUCCCCUCUGGGUCUUCUGAACACGUCGGAAGGAAACACGCAGACUUCAGGUCGGCCAAGACAAGGUCGAAAUCCCCGUCCACGGCCGCCAAGUCUCCC